CUUCAUAUGCUGUGACGUCUUUACUCUUUCCAUAUUAGAAUUUUGUAACAAACAGAGCUAAAUCUGCUUUAGACACAGAGCCAAAAUGAUUAUAUUUCUCAUUUUUCUUCACCUUACAGGAUUUUCUCUGCAGAUUCAGAUCUAUCAGUCUCCCACUGACGUCCUCAGAAAGACAAAUGAAGAAGCUGAGCUCUUCUGCACACACGGGCAGGCAGACUACGGAGUGAUGCUGUGGUACCAGCAAACACCUGGAAACACAGCUCUGAAACUCAUUGGAUAUGGAUAUAGACAGUUCUAUAAUGAAAGCGUGGAAAUGCCAUUUAGAAAACAUUUUAGGUUAGCUGGAGAUUUGAAUGGAAAAAAGAUAUAUGGUUCACUUUCUAUAAUGGGACUAAAUGCGUCUGAACAUACAGGGACUUACUUCUGUGCAGCCAGAGAAGCACACUACAUCAAACAGCCGUACUCUCCGAACAAAAACCUCCUCCUACGGCCUCUUAUAUCUUGACUCUGAAUGUAGGUUAAAGAGUAACCUCCCCUCCUCUCACUCACCACCGCAGACAUGUGGGAGACACCAUGUUUUGUGGUAUUACUUUACUUACCAGCCUUGUUUAUCACCAAAGAUCUUAACAAUCAUGUUUUCAGCUGUUUGACACCUUUUCCUGAAUGUUGCCACGAUUUUUCUUCCUCAUUUUCAUGUAUAGAGUGAAGACAAUGAGGCGCAGACUAAUUAAAGUAAACUUUGCUAAAGCAAGCAAGCAUCUCUCAGCAUGAUCUCAUGCGCUAGAUCUCGUCGCAUCACUUCCUGUUCCUCAUUUUGCUUCACAAGGCAGAGAUUCUGUUUGCUGGUUAGUUUUCAACAUGAAGCCUUCUUGUCUCAUCAUCGUCAUCAUCGCUGUGUUUUGGAUUAAAGGAGUCUUCCUCAGUGAAGAUAAAAAAGUGUUUCAGUCUCCAUCUGAGCUGCUGGUGGAACCAAACACUGAGGUCAACCUGACCUGCACACAUAAAAUCCAGAGUUAUGACACCAUUCUCUGGUACCAGCGUUCACCAGGAGACACUUCCCUCAAGCUGAUUGGCUACAUGUCCUAUAAAAAUCCCAACAUGGAAUCAGCGUUUAAAGACACCUUUAACGUGAGUGGAGAUGGAGAGAAUACGGCUUAUCUUCACAUCCUGAACCCCAGACACCCUGAAGACACUGGAGAAUAUUUUGGUGUAGCUCGUAUGCACAGUGAUAAAGAGACCGAUUCUCCCGUACAAAAACCUUCAGAAUCAUCCAGAUAUCAGGAAACCACAGAGACCAUGUGGCACAGUGUCAAAGCUGUGAGAAUCAGGCUGUGUUAUAACUGAAAAACAUUUACAGAAUUAAAGAAAAUAAA